GACGAACGCUGGCGGCGUGCUUAACACAUGCAAGUCGAACGGAAAGGCCCUGCUUUUGUGGGGUGCUCGAGUGGCGAACGGGUGAGUAACACGUGAGUAACCUGCCCUUGACUUUGGGAUAACUUCAGGAAACUGGGGCUAAUACCGGAUAGGAGCUCCUGCUGCAUGGUGGGGGUUGGAAAGUUUCGGCGGUUGGGGAUGGACUCGCGGCUUAUCAGCUUGUUUGUGGGGUAGUGGCUUACCAAGGCUUUGACGGGUAGCCGGCCUGAGAGGGUGACCGGCGACAUUGGGACUGAGAUACGGACCAGAAUGCUACGGGAGGCAGCAGUGGGGAAUAUUGCACAAUGGGCGGAAGCGUGAUGCAGAAAAGCCGCGUGCGGGAUGACGGCCUUCGGGUUGUAAACCGCUUUCGAAUGUGACGAAGAGUGAGUGACGGUAAUGGGUAAAGAAGCACCGGCUAACUACGUG
rnacentral:rRNA from 1 species